rnacentral:tRNA from 1 species
GGAGAAAUGGCAGAGUGGUCGAUUGCGGCAGUCUUGAAAACUGUUGACUGUAACAGGU